UUUAAUUUAAUGUAUUUCAUCCACACAAAUUACUAUUUUCAUGAUCAGAAUUCUGAGGAAUGGUAUCAUUCUUUGCUGAAUUAGCAACUUCAGUGGUUUGGUGUGGCUCUGAUGUGAUUCCCAUCUGACACAGUGCUGUGAAAACAAAGCAGGUGCCUCUUGGUCCAAUCUGUGAUCUGUUAGGUCUUGCUUCUUACCCACUGUGUUUCCAUCCCACUGCUAGGCAUGAGAUUUC
rnacentral:lncRNA from 1 species